AGUCGAACGGUGAAGCCCAGCUUGCUGGGUGGAUCAGUGGCGAACGGGUGAGUAACACGUGAGCAACCUGCCCUCCACUUCGGGAUAAGCCUUGGAAACGGGGUCUAAUACCGGAUAUGAGCACUCACCGCAUGGUGGGUGUUGGAAAGUUUUUCGGUGGGGGAUGGGCUCGCGGCCUAUCAGCUUGUUGGUGGGGUAAUGGCCUACCAAGGCGUCGACGGGUAGCCGGCCUGAGAGGGCGACCGGCCACACUGGGACUGAGACACGGCCCAGACUCCUACGGGAGGCAGCAGUGGGGAAUAUUGCACAAUGGGCGAAAGCCUGAUGCAGCGACGCCGCGUGAGGGAUGACGGCCUUCGGGUUGUAAACCUCUUUCAGCAGGGAAGAAGCGCAAGUGACGGUACCUGCAGAAGAAGCGCCGGCUAACUACGUGCCAGCAGCCGCGGUAAUACGUAGGGCGCAAGCGUUGUCCGGAAUUAUUGGGCGUAAAGAGCUCGUAGGCGGUCUGUCGCGUCUGGUGUGAAAUCCCAUGGCUCAACUGUGGGCUUGCAUCGGGUACGGGCAGACUAGAGUACUGUAGGGGAGACUGGAAUUCCUGGUGUAGCGGUGGAAUGCGCAGAUAUCAGGAGGAACACCGAUGGCGAAGGCAGGUCUCUGGGCAGUUACUGACGCUGAGGAGCGAAAGCAUGGGGAGCGAACAGGAUUAGAUACCCUGGUAGUCCAUGCCGUAAACGUUGGGCACUAGGUGUGGGGCCAGUUCCACUGGUUCUGUGCCGUAGCUAACGCAUUAAGUGCCCCGCCUGGGGAGUACGGCCGCAAGGCUAAAACUCAAAGGAAUUGACGGGGGCCCGCACAAGCGGCGGAGCAUGCGGAUUAAUUCGAUGCAACGCGAAGAACCUUACCAAGGCUUGACAUGUACGAGAAAGCCCCAGAGAUGGGGUUCUCUUUGGACACUCGUACACAGGUGGUGCAUGGUUGUCGUCAGCUCGUGUCGUGAGAUGUUGGGUUAAGUCCCGCAACGAGCGCAACCCUUGU
rnacentral:rRNA from 1 species